rnacentral:misc_RNA from 1 species
CCAAUAGCGUAUAUUAAAGUUGUUGCAGUUAAAAAGCUCGUAGUUGAAUUUCGGGGUCAGUAGGUCGGUCGUGCCACUGGUAUGAACUGGUUUUACUGAUUCCUCCCUCUUGAAGAACUGUAAUGCCAUUAAUUUGGUGUUGCAGGGAAUCAGGACUGUUACUUUGAAAAAAUUAGAGUGUUUAAAGCAGGCUUUAGCUUGAAUACAUUAGCAUGGAAUAAUGAAAUAGGACGUUUGAUCCUAUUUUGUUGGUUUCUAGGAUUGACGUAAUGAUUAAUAGGGAUAGUUGGGGGCAUUAGUAUUCAAUUGUCAGAGGUGAAAUUCUUGGAUUUAUUGAAGACUAACUACGGCGAAAGCAUUUGCCAAGGAUGUUUUCAUUAAUCAAGAACGAAAGUUAGGGGAUCGAAGACGAUCAGAUACCGUCGUAGUCUUAACCAUAAACUAUGCCGACUAGGGAUCGGAUGAUGUUAAUUUUUUAAUGACUCAUUCGGCGCCUUACG